rnacentral:rRNA from 1 species
CCUGAACGCUGGCGGCGUGGCUAAGACAUGCAAGUCGCACGGGCCUCGCAAGAGGUCAGUGGCGAACGGGUGAGUAAAGAAUCGCUAACGUACCCCGGACUCUGGGAUAGCUACCCGAAAGGGUGGGUAAUACCAGAUGAUAUAACUUUCCUGCAUGGGAGAGUUCUCAAAGGCCGCCGGCAACGGUGGAACGGUCUGGGAGCGGGCGAUUUCGUAUCAGCUAGUUGGUGAGGAACGGCUCACCAAGGCGACGACGCGUAGCCGGACUGAGAGGUUGGCCGGCCACAUUGGGACUGAGACACUGCCCAGACUCCUACGGGGGCUGCAGUAACGAAUCUUCCGCAAUGCACGCAAGUGUGACGGAGCGACGCCGCGUGUGGGACGAAGCCCUUCGGGGGUGUAAACCACUGUCAGGGGACAGAAAGUUCUGAUCCGUCCCCAGAGGAA